UACGAAGGGGGCUAGCGUUGUUCGGAAUUACUGGGCGUAAAGCGCACGUAGGCGGGUUGUUAAGUCAGGGGGUGAAAUCCCGGAGCUCAACUCCGGAACUGCCUUUGAUACUGGCAAUCUAGAGACUGGAAGAGGUUAGUGGAAUUCCCAGUGUAGAGGUGAAAUUCGUAGAUAUUGGGAAGAACACCAGUGGCGAAGGCGGCUAACUGGUCCAGUACUGACGCUGAGGUGCGAAAGCG
rnacentral:rRNA from 1 species